UACGGGGGGGAGCAAGCGUUGGUUCGGAUUUACUGGGCGUAAAGGGCGCGUAGGCGGCGCGACAAGUCACUUGUGAAAUCUCUGGGCUCAACCCAGAACGGUCAAGUGAUACUGUCGUGCUAGAGUGCGGAAGGGGCAACUGGAAUUCUUGGUGUAGCGGUGAAAUGCGUAGAUAUCAAGAGGAACACCUGCGGCGAAGGCGGGUUGCUGGGCUGACACUGACGGCUGAGGCGCGAAAGCCAGGGGAGCGAACGGGG
rnacentral:rRNA from 1 species